rnacentral:tRNA from 1 species
UCCCUGGUGGUCUAGUGGUUAGAACUCAGUGCUUUCACCGCUGUUGCCCGGGUUCAAUCCUGGUCUGAGAA